rnacentral:rRNA from 1 species
CUUACGAGAUGGUGCGGGCUAUGAUGCUUGUCGACGCUUCUUUUUCCACCGGACCUUGCUCCGCCGGAAAAGGAUGAUUGGCGAUCGGGUGAGUAACACGUGGGUAACCUGCCCAUCAGAAGGGGAUAACACUUGGAAACAGGUGCUAAUACCGUAUAACAAUCAAAACCGCAUGGUUUUGAUUUGAAAGGCGCUUUCGGGUGUCGCUGAUGGAUGGACCCGCGGUGCUUUAUCUAUUUGGUGAGGUAACGGCUCACCAAGGCCACCAUGCAUAGCCGACCUGAGAGGGUGAUCGGCCACAUUGGGACUGAGACACGGCCCAAACUCCUACGGGAGGCAGCAGUAGGGAAUCUUCGGCAAUGGACGAAAGUCUGACCGAGCAACGCCGCGUGAGUGAAGAAGGUUUUCGGAUCGUAAAACUCUGUUGUUAGAGAAGAACAAGGAUGAGAGUAACUGUUCAUCCCUUGACGGUAUCUAACCAGAAAGCCACGGCUAACUACGUGCCAGCAGCCGCGGUAAUACGUAGGUGGCAAGCGUUGUCCGGAUUUAUUGGGCGUAAAGCGAGCGCAGGCGGUUUCUUAAGUCUGAUGUGAAAGCCCCCGGCUCAACCGGGGAGGGUCAUUGGAAACUGGGAGACUUGAGUGCAGAAGAGGAGAGUGGAAUUCCAUGUGUAGCGGUGAAAUGCUUAGAUAUAUGGAGGAACACCAGUGGCGAAGGCGGCUCUCUGGUCUGUAAUCUGACGCUGAGGCUCGAAGCUU